rnacentral:rRNA from 1 species
UUGACCUCGGAUCAGGUAGGAAUACCCGCUGAACUUAAGCAUAUCAAUAACCGGAGGAA